CCCAAAAAGAACAAUAAAAAAAAAUUAAAAUUUUUCUACAAGGCUCCAAGGGAAGAAAGAAGGCAAGAAGCAUCCAUCUAACAAUUGGGUCAAGUUGGGUCUCUUAAUUUAUUAUUGGGCCCAAAUGUAAGCCAAGAAGUGCACAUAUAAAAGCUCCUUUAAUAAUCGUGAUAAUUAAAUAGGCCCCUGACCUCCGAGCCUUGUUUUUCUCUGCGGCAAUAAAUCAAACACUUUGUGUGCAAGUAAUUUGCAGCCGGGCUUUGAUUAUUACCUGAUACAUUGUAUUUUUUGUUACUGUGGUGGGAAAUGGGAAUGAACAUAGUAGUUGAGAGCAUACUUGAAGAGGAAGGAAAUGCAGAAGUGCUGUUUCUAGAAUCGUUAGCUUGUCUUCCUCUUCCUGAAACAAUUUGAUGAAUAUUGAC